CCUGGUCUAAUGGUUGGUGACCCUGCACUCAGCAGGGGGGUUGAGACUAAAUGAUCUUUGAGGUCCUUUUCAACUCAGGCUGUUCUAUGAUUCUAUGAUAAAGAAGAAACAAUGAGGACUAUGGUAGAAAAGCUUUGCAACGGCAAGUAGAUGGUAAAAAGGAAAAGGGGAGAGUUGAGAUGAAAAGAGAAAAGAUAAGAUGUCCUUGCAAAAUAAAACCUGAGAAAAAUUGGUUAAACAACCAUAUCCUGUAGAUACAUGGCAUGAGAUGCUAACUUGGCAACUUCUUGUAAAUCCUGCAUGCUUGCCAGGACAGAGGGGGAUGGACUGUGUCAAAGAGGAUACAAAGAUAAUUUGAAUUGAGCAAAACAAAGAACUCUAAAAUCCAGAUGGCAAAUCACGUAUAGACUAAAAAAGAAAUGAAGUGGUACCUGCUGGGGGCUGGGGAGAAUGAUGAGUGGACCAGAAAGUCUGUAAACACUGAGUACCUCAGCCAGUGGGGAAAAGAGGAGGGAUAAUGCGGCCAGGAAAUUAGGAUAAAAAGGGGUCUGCGAACCCUCAAAAUAAGAGACCCACAGGGGUGUGCCCCAGUGGACUCUCCCUUUUUUGGAAUAAAGAAAACUGAAGACUCUCCUCUGUCUCUGUUUGGGUAAAGAUGAUUGAGCAAGCUUAUUGGAGCAGAAAUUUUCCCAGCAUAGAGUGAGGAAGAAGAUGAAAAGCUCAUUUUCAUUGCUUUGAAAUCUCCUUAAAUGCUUCUUAUUGUGUUCAAUUCUAAACUAUUUUUUUUUCAAGCUUACAGUUUGACAAAAAUAUAUAUAUUUAUGUUGGAAUAUAAUAAUAAAUCUACUUAUUACUGGAACAUAAGACAAACUAGGAAGUGCCAGCUAAAGGUGAAAGUUGCUGUUAAAGAGGAUUUCAUAGGAGUUUCCAGUUCCUUUUACUUGACUUAUACACAUGGCUACUCAGAUUUUUUGUGGAAGUUUGACUUUUGCUGACUAGUGAUGAAAUACCGAUAUUGCAGAGUUGAUGUGUAAUUAGCGUCUUUUUUUCCCAGUGCUCUUGCCAACAUGGGGAACUCUAAUGCCAAGGCUCUCAUGUAUGGAGGUACUGGAUUUGCUGCUUUUUCAGUAUAAACUUUUGCCUCAGUCUCCAGCCCUUCAACACCACUGACUGGCACCAAGCUCAAGUUCGCAGCUCUUUCUGUUGCUGUACAAACAAUGCAGGAAGCUGCCUCCAUGUAGUUGUUAGCAUGAAAUACUUGUGCUUAGUAGAUAUACCCAGAGAGUGAGAUAACAGGAGAACAACUUAAUAUUAUUGCAUAUAUCAGAGAAGGGUUUUACGUGUGUAAAAAAAAAAAAUAAAUAAAAAUGUAUUUUUGCACCCUAGAAUAUGCUGAUGGGAGAUUGUAAGUUUAUAUUGCUCAUGCUCUGGAAGUGGCGUGGCACCAACCACGAGCUGAAGUGAUAAGGUCUGUACUGAGCUGCGCAGAUUUUCACGCUUAAUUCAUCUUGUAGCUGAGGCAGUAUAAAGACUCAUUUGAUGAAAAAUGUAAUUUAGAGAUGCUCAAAGUUGUUCAAACAUAGUUUACAACAACAACAAAAAGUCUUAGAAACUGGUGCUAGCCAUUGCAGUGCUUACAUUGGCUCGGUCUUUUGGCCACGUGUGCAUGUUUCCAUCUUUUCUGUUUGUUUGCUCAGGCUGCGUAAAGCCUAUUUUGCUGGUGAUAAACCAGUGUUUUCAUUUUAAUUUUUUUUUUAUUUUUGAAGUUUCAAAGAAUUAGCAGUUCUGUCUCCCCUUCGUGAUAUUGGCAUUUCCCCGCUUUCACUUGGCAAUGCAAUGAGUACAUGCACCACUGCCAUCACACUUGACUGUGUGUUACUAAGCCUGAAUUUUGUGCCCGUUUAACCCCAGAAAAUACGGCCGGGCUUCUCGCUGGAUUGCUCUGGAGUUGGCUCUGCUUUUCUUCAGCCAGGUAUCUUCCUUUUAAAUACAUAUGGAUGUGGUACCCCUCCUCCCCUUGAAGGCACUUCCCGAAACGCUGUUGGAAGCGCUCAGCUUGUGAUGGGCGCGGGAGCCGCGGGGCUGUGUGCGGCGCGGCCGCCAGGCGGCGCUAUAACAGCGGGUGGGCCGGGCGCCAUUAGGGAGCGCGCUCAGCCAGCGGGGCCCGGGAGUACGCGCCCACGGCAGUGGGCUGCUACGCGCCGCGGGGAGCGGGAGGCCCUCAGACGUGUGCCCUGAACGCGCUUCUCGUACCCACACAGAUGCUUAAAACUUGCCUUUCAUAUGCUUUUCUCUGCGGCACAUCUACAGGUUCUCUCCUGCAUCACGGCUGCGUGUUGGAUGCAAUGACUUCACCUUCAUCUGCUUUGUGGCUGAGAGUUCCUCCUUGGCACAAGCCAAACUCUGAACAAGUGGCAAUUUCAAGGUCCCUCCUCCAUUGCUUAUAAAUCUUUCUGGCACCAUCUUAAUAGUGUUUUGUGCUCGUAAUCUGCAGGUUCCCAGAUAGCCUGUUUUUGUGGUGUGCAGCAAAGCACUCAGUGCCGAGUGAAGAGCUGCUCGGCCUUUUUUUUAGCAUGCAGAAACCAGAAUGCUGCUCCAAUUUUAAAAGAGAAUCGGUGCUGCUGUGUGCUGCCAUUCAGUUAGCACCAUAUGGAAGGAAGAAGUCUGACCUUUCUGAUUGUUACGUGGUCUCUUUGAACUGAUGCAAGUCACUGACUGAAUGCAGAAGGUUUCUUUUUUGCUACCUCCUUUUUCCAGCAUAACACUGCAAGUGAAAGCAGCUAAUUAUAUUAAAUCCAAUUACAACUUAAUGGCUUUUUGGAAUCUGCUUUGCAUUUCUUAAAAUAUUACACAUUGAGCACACAUGCUGUGAGGAGAUGAUUGCAGUGCAACACCUGUACCCUUUGUGCCAUUAUUGCUGCCAUCAAACUUACAGCCGCUGUUUUAAAUACAUUUUUGUUUCUAAAUGUUAUUGCUAAGUGUACGUCACUAUCGUAUUAAUUCCUAACUAAAAGUUGUUUACAAUAAGGGCAGAGAGGCACUGGCACAGGUUGCCCAGAGAGGUGGUGCAUGUCCCAUUGCUGGAGACAUUCAAGGUCUGGCUGGGGGGCCCUGAGCACCUAAUGGAGCUGUGGGUGUCCCUGCUCACUGCAGGGGGGUAGGACUGGAUGGCAUUUGAGAGUCACUUCCAGCUCAAAUGAUUCUAUGAAAAUGGAAAAAAAAAAUCACAACUAAUGUUCUAAUUCUUGAAAUCUGAAAUAAGUCUGUAAGUCUUCAGAAAUCUGUAGUGCUGAAGCUAAGCAUCCUGCUGAGAAUAAAAUAGUGAAAAUAUUUCUUAUGGCAAGGGAGAUCAGAACGCACUAGCACUCAGCUUGGCUGGUUUCUGUAAGCACUGCUGCUGAGCAGUCAGAAGCUCUGUGAUCUCUGCUGCGUCGUUUUUGCUAGCUUACAGCACCCAGUGCUGGUGACCUCACUGUGUGUUGGUGAGCGUAAACACUAAACCCAGCUAUCUCUCUGUUAUAUCCAGUAUUCAUCUGUGUAAACCAGUGGGUGGCCAGAGAAAGGUGGAAAUCACAUUUAUGUACACGUUUGGUUUUAGUUGUAGAAUGAGCUACAGAAGCAGCUUUUAAUUUUUGGACAGUUACUGCAGUGCAGAAUGUGAGAAGUUUGUCCGAGGUUUCUCUGAGUUCUGUUUGAAGCAAUAUCCAGAGGAGGCCAUCCAGAAUCGCUGUGGCUCUGGGAAGCAUGUGAAACUGGGCAUACGGAGCACAUCCACAUGUCCUGGCCUGUUUCAGAAGUAGAGGAUGGCUGUUUCCAAUUUAGCUGUGAUGCGUCUGCUUGGCACACUUAAAUUGCUCCCUCACUGUCUGAGAAUUAAUAGUUUUGUUGAUGUUUGUAUACGUACUUCCUCAGUUUGUUUGUAUAUGCUCGUAUUGUAUAUGUUAUGUAUUGUCAGUCUCGUGUGCCUAUUGAUUAGAUGAAACUUCUUACCAUUUGGUGCUUUCCAUGUAGCAUAAACGUAGCUGUUUGCUUAAGUUUGUUCACAGUUGUCUUCUGUUUGCAUCAUUACAACUUGUGGUUUCACUGAAGUCCGUAUCAGUAAAAAUAAGAUGCGAAGCUGCCCCAGAAAGGUAAGUUACAUAACAGGUAGCUCUGCUCUUUGGCUAUAAAAGAUGUAUUUGGUAUUAUGUAAGAAAGCGGAAAAGCUUGGUGGUAGAGAUGAAAAAAAGAUAUCUAAUAUCAGAUUCAAGUGGGAAACUGCAGCAGAUAAAAACUGUGAAACUAAGUCCAGCAACGGUACAAACAGUCUGUCUGGGGUUUCUUUUAUGACUCGUUCAUUAAUUCCCCAAAUUUUCAGCGUACAGCUUCUGAGCUGUCUGAUGUGCAGCUCUCAUCUCACGCUCAGACUCUUCAGCUGCAGUGAGAAACACCUUUUAUUUCCACCAUAAAGCUUGUGUCACGUCAUGUGAAGAUCUAGUGCAAUUCCUUUUCAGGGAAGCGUGACUGAAAGCUCUCUGCACUCCAUGUCACCAUCCGCCUGCCUGGCCUUGAGACUGUCAGAGGCACGUAGUGAUGUUUGAAUACCUGACGAAGGGUGCCUCCUCUCCUGCCAAUUAACGCUUCCGAAUAAGCGCCGUGUAUGCUGUGAAGCAGACAUCCUUAAAGUCAGGGUUGCAAAGUGAAAGUUUUUCAGCCUGUGGCUGGUUGAAGACACACCGCUCUUGCUGUCUGUGGCAGGGUCAAGCUUUCCUGAGGGAUGUAAUGUUUCCUGGGUGUCUCUCAGGAGGAAGAAACUCCAAAGUUCUCGCAACGGAGGAGACUUUGUACAUAGGCUCUCUCACAGUGAGUGUACCUGGGUUUUUCUGUGUUAUGUAGACAGCUGAAGAAUAUUGGCUUUGGUAUUUUCAAAGCAGAUGCUACAAGUUAAAAAACAAGAUGUUUGUACUAUUUUUUUUUUCCCAUUUUUAAGGCCUCAGUGGUUUUACAGACUCUUCUGUUUAAAUCUGUAGGGUAGAAAGCCUGUAUAGCUGCAUUACUUCUGCAAGAGCUGCAGUGGAAAACACGGGCAGUGCGCAUACCACCUUUUAGCUUUGUAAAUAAUUGCUUUCAAGUACUUGGCCAGUAAAGCAGGGAUGAACUUAACUGGAUGGCAUUCCUUUGAGUUAAAAAUUGAGCAAAGCAUUCUUACUGGUGAAAAAAUAUGAUUCUUUUAUCAUAGUGUCAAAGCACAUGAUGAUGAAAAUGAAAUGAACUUGUCACCAGGAAAGUUUGGUGAGAACUCUUACAUGCACGCAGAAUAAUUCCUCUAAGCAUGACAUCUUCGUUUAAAGAUGCUUCUGACACUGCACAGAUAAUUUGUCAUGCAAAUGAGAUCCUUAUUAGGAAGUAAUAUUUUUAGAACACUUUAAGCAAAAGGAAACCUGUUCUUCUAAAGGCAUUUCACACACACAGAACAACUUUAUAAUAAAGGAAGAUCAGAGUGGAUGUGGCUGUAUUAAUGUGAGAUAAAUGUUUCCCAGGUCGUCUCAUUAGGAAAUCUAAAUUUAGAAUUUAUACAAAAUGUGACGUUGUAAUAGCCUAGUUUUUUAUGUCUUAAAUUGACUCUACCUAUGCAUAACAAGGGGCUGUUGCACUGCUGCAGUGCACCGCUGGGUAUCCUUCCUAAGCUUUGUGUCAAAGAAGAAAUGUGGCUGUUCUAGCUGCUUUUGAGUAGGGUGAAAUACAUGCACUGUGUUACACUGUGGCAUGCAUAAUGUGAGAUAACAACAGCAUUUGUGGGAGGGAAGAAGGAGGGAAAAGAAGCACCACUGACACUAUAGUGUUUUAGACUUCAGUCUUAAGAGUGCACAGCGAAGUUAAGCAUCUGUACAGCUGAAAUGGGUUCACAUGUACCAGUAAAUAAGACCAGGAAUACAUGCUUGUAGAGGAACUGUUGGGUCAUGGCUUGAACUGGUGAUUGAGCACCUGGUGAAGGGGUGCUGCUGGCCCAGGGAGCACAGGCAGAUUGUUUGCACCUGUGCUCCACAGGUGACCAGAAGGGGUGGACUCAGGGCGGGCUAAUAUAAGGGCCAGCCAUUGAAGGGAGAGUAUCUUGGGGACCUAGGCUGUUCUGGAGAUGGAGUGCUGCGUUGCCAGAGAUCCUCUUCACCACUUGGAUAUUAAAAUGACCGAAUGUGGAAGGCUCAAAACUUCAGCACUUGGAAUUUAAGCAAGAUUUUUCUGAGGGGGAGGAAACAAAAGCACCGAUGUUGGCCUAAAGGUGUACGCAGAGUUUCAUGUGAAUGUUGACAGAAAGACUGCUGUUUUGCCCUUAAUAGAAGACCAGUCAUCAUCACUUAGUUCUCAAAAAGAUUGUUUGGUAUUGUGCUCCGGUUAUUUCUUUUAUGAAGAAUUUGGAGGGGGUAGUCCUAAGCACCUUGAAAUACUGAUAACAAAGCAGAGUUACUUUAAACUUGUGGAAACCUUCCAAAAGUUCUCUUACAGCCUGCUAAAGGAAUAAUUAAGGAAUCAAAUAAACUAGCAAUCACAAUAAAAACUCACUGGCAUCUCAUUGUCACAUUUUAAUUGAUAAAAUGGCCUGUUCUCUGCUUUGUAAUUAAAAGAACUCAACUUUUUGUAUGUGCCAUGAAAAUAAUUUCUGUAUUUUAGUGAGAGAAAGUUUUAUCUGAUUGCUGCUGUUGAGUCAUGGACAUUAAUACAGGCGGAGCAUGUGUCUUGCAUUAAGAAGCAUUGUCAUUAUGAUCCCAUCAAAAAUUUGCAUACUCCAAAACGACCUUGUAUAGUAUUCUUCUUGUGAAAACUACUGCUGUUAAGAAACUAAAAAUGGCAAGGGCAGAGGAGUAAUCGGAAAUAUCCAAUGUGCAGUUUUUGGGGUCAUCUUUCAGUAGGAAAGAAUACCAUAUCAGGAUCACUGUGCCUUGUAAGAAUUGUUACCUUAAACUUGACCAGAAUGAACUUGAGAAUAAUCCUUCUGAUACUUCUUUGGAUCUUCAAUAGGCAGCUUUUGGUCUGCCCUGACCAAGGUGUGUUUUUUUUUCCCGGUGACAUCAAAGCAGGAAAAAGAAGGGAAGAAAAGGAAAAGACUGUGACAUCUAAGUACUCUGCUUCUGUUUGAGGAUAGAGAUGAUUCAUCAGGCUUAUUUCCUUUCAUCUGUUGUGUUUUUCUGUUCUGUAUCAAAACUCUGGAACUCUUUAAAAAUAGAAAAAGAAUAAUAAACAUCAAAUCUUAAGGAAGGUGGUUAAACUGAAAUACCUCCAGGGAUGCUCUGAUUGGGAGUGCUGUUAAAGACAGCUCAAUGGCUCCUUUUCUCUUCUUCAUACUUUUCCCAUAAUGUUUGUCUACUUCCUUGAUAAAUAUAUGUCCACUUAUGAACUCCACAUCAGAAUUCUCAUUAAUGAUGAAGUGUGCUGCAGGAGCAGUUGUUAUACCCUCUGAUUUCUUUUUUUCCCCUCAUUAACUAGAGAGUUCAAAAUCAACCAACACAUGACUGAGCUGUAUUGUAGCUGCAUUUGGGCACGGUGAUUGCUAUGUUUAUAACAUGGAAUAGUACAUUUCUGGACAGCAGGAUGCGUUACCUACAGAUCACUGCAGUGAAGUUGAGAUAUAUCUGUAUGUUUCUUUUCUCCAUCCUUGAAGUUCUCAAAGAGUUGUCAUUUAUCAGCAGUCCUCUGCAUUCAGUGUUUCGGUGUCAGCUGGGUAAAAAUGUAGCUUCUCUGGUAGCCUUAUAAAAAUUUUAUUUCUGUAGGCAGUAUUGUGUGUAGUUUACAAUAAUUUGUAACAAGAGUCACGUAUGUGGUCGCUAUUAGUGAAGGUGGGGGGGAACAGCUAGAACAAGUGUAUUGAACUUAGUUUAGGAAAAGUAGAGAAAAGUAU